rnacentral:sRNA from 1 species
CCCAUGGGUACAUGAAGGACUCAAAGUGGAAAAGGAAAACGGAAGUGCAAAGUUAAGGUUAGAGUACUGUGGUGGCGUGCCAGAGUAAAUAACGAUCGACCGACCAGUGAAAAUAGUUAGAGACACCUCUGAACAAAUAGCGAUUUAAUAUCUCGUUGUUGCCAGGUUUUUUGAGUUAAAGGUGAUUGGAUCCUAGGACGAGGUGCUCCUCCCUAUACAUUACUCGAUAGGUUUAACGUGACACUCAGUGUUAUCAAUCGUACAUAGAGUCACUCCGCUGACGGUCAAGGUCUAAUUAUGUGUAUAUGAUUAUUUAAUGUGAAACAUUAAGAAUCA